GAUCAUUCCCCUGCAAUUUCACUACUCAAUUCACUGUCAUUUAGGAGUUAAAUCACUUUGUUUCUGUUUAUGUAGCCCUAGCCACACCUCCCCUGGCUAUGACUGACAGAGCCUGCAUGAAAAAAAAACUGGUUUCACUUUCAAACAGAUGUAAUUUACCUUAAAUAAUUGUAUCUCAAUCUCUAAAUUGAACUUUAAUCACAUACAGGAGGCUCUUGCAGGGUCUAGCAAGCUAUUAACAUAGCAGGGGAUAAGAAAAUCUUAAUUAAACAGAACUUGCAAUAAAGAAAGCCUAAAUAGGGCUCUCUUUACAGGAAGUGUUUAUGGAAGGCUGUGCAAGUCACAUGCAGGGAGGUGUGACUAGGGUUCA